rnacentral:antisense_RNA from 1 species
AAACACAUCAGUACACAGUGGAUACAGCCUUUCACACCAUCAGGAAAAACAAGGAUGAAAAACACUUGAACAUCACUGUUUUCCAGGAAGUAGGGUGUGACCUCUUUUCGACAGAUGGGGUGAAAACACACAAGUGGACCAGCAGCUCCCGCCACAAAUAGAGUCUGGAAAUGCAGGGCCACUCAUGGGCAGCAGCUUCUUGUCCAGUCGUCACCAAUAAAGAGAAUCCCCACCACGGUCCUAGUGCCAAGGUGGCCACUGAGUGCAACAGGUGGAAGAAAACGGAAUCUUGAAUAAGAAAACGUGUUCUACUCCCAACUGCUACCUUUCAACCCCAAGCGGUGCUGACAUGAAAAAUGGCAUAUAAUGAGCUCUUCUACAGAGCAGAACUUGGAGUAAAAAUUGUCUCUGUUUCCAAGACGUGUGAGAUGUCUGAACUCUGAGAUGGUGUUUCAUCUCCACCCGAUUUCACCAAAGGGGUGUCAAUAUCUUUAAAGAACUGAUCUUCAGUAGGAAUUGGUGAGGUGGCAAGGAUGACUUUUCCUCUCCUUGAGGACACUCACCACUUUCUCUUUGGAUCUCAGGACUCCCAGCUUUCCAAACCGAACGUGAAAAGGUGAACACUGAUAGCUGCCAUCCUGCUGCUGUACCACGAUGACAUCAAUGCACCC